rnacentral:tRNA from 1 species
GGGGGCGUAGCUCAGGUGGCAGAGCAGGAGCCUUUUAAGCUCUUGGCCGCAGGUUCGAGUCCUGCCGCCCUCACCU